GGAGAGAUGCAGGAGUGGCUUAACUGGCACGCCUGGAAAGCGUGUAUACCCCUCAAGGGUAUCGAGGGUUCGAAUCCCUCUCUCUCCGCAA
rnacentral:tRNA from 1 species